rnacentral:ncRNA from 1 species
AAUAGAGGCGCGUCGGCACAAAAGUAUUCCGCAGGAGACACCGGGUCGAGGAUUGCGGGAAAAAGGGUGCGACGCCGAAGAGCAUCGGUCUCCGGCAGGCGGGUGUUCUGGCCUUACAGUUAAGAGCUGUGAGGUUGUCAUCAUGCUUUGUGAUGGAGCGCUAUU